rnacentral:tRNA from 1 species
GCCUUCGUGGUGUAAUGGUAGCACACUCGGCGCGUAUUCCAGAGGUCCAGGUUCAAGUCCUGGAGAGGGAA